CCUACGGGAGGCAGCAGUGGGGAAUAUUGCGCAAUGGGCGCAAGCCUGAUGCAGCCAUGCCGCGUGUGUGAAGAAGGCCUUCGGGUUGUAAAGCACUUUCAGUCAGGAGGAAAGGUUAGUAGUUAAUACCUGCUAGCUGUGACGUUACUGACAGAAGAAGCACCGGCUAACUCCGUGCCAGCAGCCGCGGUAAUA
rnacentral:rRNA from 1 species